CACACAGGAAGGAGCCGAGUGGGACUUUCCUCUCGCUGCCUCCCGGCUCUGCCCUCCCUUCGAAGGUCCAGGGUCCCUGCCCGCUAGGCAAGUUGCACUCAUGGCACCUCCAAGUGAAGAGACGCCCCUGAUCCCUCAGCGUUCAUGCAGCCUCUUGUCCACGGAGGCUGGUGCCCUGCAUGUGCUGCUGCCCGCUCGGGGCCCCGGGCCCCCCCAGCGCCUAUCUUUCUCCUUUGGGGACCACUUGGCUGAGGACCUGUGCGUGCAGGCUGCCAAGGCCAGCGGCAUCCUGCCUGUGUACCACUCCCUCUUUGCUCUGGCCACGGAGGACCUGUCCUGCUGGUUCCCCCCGAGCCACAUCUUCUCCGUGGAGGAUGCCAGCACCCAAGUCCUGCUCUACAGGAUUCGCUUUUACUUCCCCAAUUGGUUUGGGCUGGAGAAGUGCCACCGCUUCGGGCUACGCAAGGAUUUGGCCAGUGCUAUCCUUGACCUGCCAGUCCUGGAGCACCUCUUUGCCCAGCACCGCAGUGACCUGGUGAGUGGGCGCCUCCCCAUGGGCCUCAGUCUCAAGGAGCAGGGUGAGUGUCUCAGCCUGGCCGUGUUGGACCUGGCCCGGAUGGCGCGAGAGCAGGCCCAGCGGCCGGGAGAGCUGCUGAAGACUGUCAGCUACAAGGCCUGCCUACCCCCAAGCCUGCGCGACCUGAUCCAGGGCCUGAGCUUCGUGACGCGGAGGCGUAUUCGGAGGACGGUGCGCAGAGCCCUGCGCCGCGUGGCCGCCUGCCAGGCAGACCGGCACUCGCUCAUGGCCAAGUACAUCAUGGACCUGGAGCGGCUGGAUCCAGCCGGGGCCGCCGAGACCUUCCACGUGGGCCUCCCUGGGGCCCUUGGUGGCCACGACGGGCUGGGGCUGCUCCGCGUGGCUGGUGACGGCGGCAUCGCCUGGACCCAGGGAGAACAGGAGGUCCUCCAGCCCUUCUGCGACUUUCCAGAAAUCGUAGACAUUAGCAUCAAGCAGGCCCCGCGCGUUGGCCCGGCCGGAGAGCACCGCCUGGUCACUGUUACCAGGACAGACAACCAGAUUUUAGAGGCCGAGUUCCCAGGGCUGCCCGAGGCUCUGUCGUUCGUGGCGCUCGUGGACGGCUACUUCCGGCUGACCACGGACUCCCAGCACUUCUUCUGCAAGGAGGUGGCACCGCCGAGGCUGCUGGAGGAAGUGGCCGAGCAGUGCCACGGCCCCAUCACUCUGGACUUUGCCAUCAACAAGCUCAAGACUGGGGGCUCACAUCCUGGCUCCUAUGUUCUCCGCCGCAGCCCCCAGGACUUUGACAGCUUCCUCCUCACUGUCUGUGUCCAGACCCCCCUUGGUCCUGAUUAUAAGGGCUGCCUCAUCCGGCGCAGCCCCACAGGAACCUUCCUUCUGGUUGGCCUCAGCCGACCCCACAGCAGUCUUCGAGAGCUCCUGGCAACCUGCUGGGAUGGGGGGCUGCACGUAGAUGGGGUGGCAGUGACCCUCACUUCCUGCUGUAUCCCCAGACCCAAAGGCACAGCUAGAUGUGAGCCAUGUCAUCUGCACCUAGUCUCUCUCCAGCUCUCAGCUCUUCCUCUGGGUGAAUUUCACUCCUGGACAAACCCCUCUGAUGGGACAAUUCUGAGAUAAAAGUCCAACCUGAUCGUGGUCCAGAGAGGUCACAGCCCACCCACAUCAUCCUUGGUUCAGCCCCAAUCCCAAUACCAGCUGAGUCAGAUGACAUUUCACAAGAUCCCUGCUGACAGCCU
rnacentral:sRNA from 1 species